AGAGCGAACGCUGGCGGCGUGCUUAACACAUGCAAGUCGAACGCGCAGCAUUCUGUAGCAAUACAGGGUGUGGGCGCGUGGCGAACGGGUGCGUAACACGUGGAUAACCUUCCUUCGGGUGGGGAAUAACCCAGUGAAAAUUGGGCUAAUACCGCAUAACAUCGCGAUGGCACAUGCCGUUGCGUUCAAAGGCGCAAGUCGCCAGAAGAGGGAUCCGCGGCCGAUUAGCUUGUUGGCGGGGUAACGGCCCACCAAGGCGAAGAUCGGUA
rnacentral:rRNA from 1 species